AAAUCACAUGAUGAAUUUGGAUUUAAAUUUUCUCACGACGGUCGUCUGAGAUUCACUUGAUGCAACAAUCCACUAUUUCUGAUGGUU